rnacentral:tRNA from 1 species
UGCGGGAUAGAGCAGUGGUAGCUUGCCGGGCUCAUUACCCGGAGGUCGUAGGUUCGAGUCCUACUCCCGCAACAA